GAUGAACGCCGGCGGCGUGCCUAAUACAUGCAAGUCGAGCGAACGGACGAGAAGCUUGCUUCUCUGAUGUUAGCGGCGGACGGGUGAGUAACACGUGGAUAACCUACCUAUAAGACUGGGAUAACUUCGGGAAACCGGAGCUAAUACCGGAUAAUAUUUUGAACCGCAUGGUUCAAAAGUGAAAGACGGUCUUGCUGUCACUUAUAGAUGGAUCCGCGCUACAUUAGCUAGUUGGUAAGGUAACGGCUUACCAAGGCAACGAUGCAUAGCCGACCUGAGAGGGUGAUCGGCCACACUGGAACUGAGACACGGUCCAGACUCCUACGGGAGGCAGCAGUAGGGAAUCUUCCGCAAUGGGCGAAAGCCUGACGGAGCAACGCCGCGUGAGUGAUGAAGGUCUUCGGAUCGUAAAACUCUGUUAUUAGGGAAGAACAUAUGUGUAAGUAACUGUGCACAUCUUGACGGUACCUAAUCAGAAAGCCACGGCUAACUACGUG
rnacentral:rRNA from 1 species